GACGGGGGGGGCAAGUGUUCUUCGGAAUGACUGGGCGUAAAGGGCACGUAGGCGGUGAAUCGGGUUGAAAGUGAAAGUCGCCAAAAAGUGGCGGAAUGCUCUCGAAACCAAUUCACUUGAGUGAGACAGAGGAGAGUGGAAUUUCGUGUGUAGGGGUGAAAUUCCGUAAAUAUACGAAGGAACGGCCAAAAGCGAAGGCAGCUCUCU
rnacentral:rRNA from 1 species